GCGCGCCGCCGACUCACCGAGCGACGCCUGCACCGCUUCGGCCGCAGAGAAAGCGAGCAGCGAGCCCUCCUUGGCCAAGAAGGCUUUGCCGUCUUCCGCAUCCGCUUGGAGCGCCUCGGCUUUGUCGAAGUUGCCGCCUCCGGGCAGUGGCUGUGGAGCGAACUUGCGGGCAGCCGCCGCCUCUUGGUGCUGGGGCGACGCAGAGAAGCCGCCGGGCAGAGUGGCCAUGAGCGUGGAGGCACUAAUUAAGCACGUUGGCAACGGAGGGAGCUCUCACCCUGGCUCUGCGCAGCGCGAGGACUCCUGGGCACGCGGUUCCCCUUUGCGGACUGCUGGAUGGAGCUGAGUCCCUCAAGAUAUUUCCCCUGUUCUCGACAAUGGUAAAAAGCCGGGAAUUUGGGGGUUAGGAGAUUGGAGGGAUUGCGGCGAAAGGAAAGUAGGCAUUUCUGGUCAUCUUUUCUUAUGUUGAAACAAACUUUCAAAUCUUGUGUUCCUUUUAAAAUGGGAUCCUUUCGUGGCGAAGGCAGAUCCUGCCAAGCGCGUUGGGCUUCCUCGGGUCCCCCUGCCUGUUCUUCAGAUUCCUUGGUCUAGACGUCCUUUCGGAACUGCUGACAGCACCAGGCCAAGGAGCAAAGGAGGGCAUUGUUAUAUAGGUCAUUAAAAAAUCAGUUCACCCGGAAGAGCUCUGGCUGGGGAGUUGGCUCAUGUUGGACGUGUGUUAUGUAUCACAAGCACAUUUAAUUGGGAGAUAAAGAUAAAUCGAUCUUUAUGAAUUUAUCGACCCGAUUCUUUGAAGCUCUUCUUUCUCGGUCUUCCUCUUUCUCCCGCUCUAACCCCAAGGUCCCCCGGGGACGUCUCAAUCCUAGAGAUCUUCUCGGGCCAAGAAUCUUGCCAGAGAGCAACUGCCCACCCAGAGAGGUAAGAGGGGACGAUGAGUCCUUUGCAUCUCUUGGCCAGAAGAAAACUCGCUGGCCCGGCUGCCAGCCGUCCUCCUCCCCCACCAGUGUCCCCUCCCCUCCCCUCCAUCACCCGGACAAAGACAUCUCAAACGCCUUUCCCCUCUCCGGGCCGCAGUAAUAGAUGGUUUCGGCAGCAGGCGGUUUGAAAGGAAUUCAUUAGGGCGCUGCCUGUGUUGCAUCCCUUCACUUCACGCCCAGAACUCGAGAUGGCUUAGGCAGUGUGAGGGGAAAUUAAUUCUCUUUGGGAUACACGGGAAGGAGGUGUCUGUGGGAUACCCAAGCUCUAGUCCCUGUUUGCCCACAAAAGAAGUUAAUCGAAGCCCAAGGCAAAAGGCUGGUUUCUUCAUGAGCAUAAUAAAUACUCCCUCUUAUUAUGAGAUACCUACAGUGACAGUCUUCAAUGCCACUACCUUGUUGUUAUCCCCUCUCCUCAACUUCUAGAAUAACCGCUUCCUUGAUUUACGCAACCGCAGCCAGGGACCUUCGUGCUUGCCUGCAAGAGGACUGGGUGAGCAGUUACUCAUUCACCUGACUCUCCUGCCUUCCAUUUUGCACUUUCACUGUAAAAAAAAAAAAAA
rnacentral:lncRNA from 1 species